UACGUAGGCAGCAAGCGUUGUUCGGAAUUACUGGGCGUAAAGAGUGUGUAGGCGGUGCUCUAAGUCUGGUGUGAAAUCUCCCGGCUUAACUGGGAGGGUGCGCUAUAAACUGCGGGACUAGAGUGUGGGAGAGGAAAGUGGAAUUCCUGGUGUAGCGGUGAAAUGCGUAGAUAUCAGGAGGAACACCGGUGGUGUAAACGGCUUUCUGGACCAUAACUGACGCUGAGGCACGAAAGCGUGGGUAGCAAACAGG
rnacentral:rRNA from 1 species